GUGCAUCUCAGAAAGCUGUAGUCUCUAAUCUAUCACAGAAUGAACCAGCUUUAUAUCCUUUUAUUGGCCCUUUGGUUAACUUUCAAUUCGUCUGAUGCAUUACACUGGAAUUACCCUACAGCACCAGCACCAACAUCUUCAAGUCUCUGCUGGUACUGGUACAAUAGACCAUGUGACUGGGUCACAA